CAGUCGCCGCGGUAAUACGUAGGUCCCGAGCGUUGUCCGGAUUUAUUGGGCGUAAAGCGAGCGCAGGCGGUUUGAUAAGUCUGAAGUUAAAGGCUGUGGCUCAACCAUAGUUCGCUUUGGAAACUGUCAAACUUGAGUGCAGAAGGGGAGAGUGGAAUUCCAUGUGCUGCGGUGAAAUGCGUAGAUAUAUGGAGGAACACCGGUGGCGAAAGCGGCUCUCUGGUCUGUAACUGACGCUGAGGCUCGAAAGCGUGGGGAGCAAACAGGAUUAGAGACCCCUGUAGUCCCUGUCUCUUAUACC
rnacentral:rRNA from 1 species